rnacentral:rRNA from 1 species
CCUACGGGUGGCAGCAGUGGGGAAUAUUGCGCAAUGGGCGAAAGCCUGACGCAGCGACGCCGCGUGAGGGAUGAAGGUCUUCGGAUCGUAAACCUCUGUCAGCAGGGAAGAACGGUCACUGUGCUAAUCAGCAGUGAAUUGACGGUACCUGCAAAGGAAGCCCCGGCUAACUCCGUGCCAGCAGCCGCGGUAAUACGGAGGGUGCGAGCGUUAACCGGAAUUACUGGGCGUAAAGCGCGCGUAGGCGGUAUGUCAAGUCAAGUGUGAAAUCCCCGCGCUCAACGUGGGAAGUGCCUUUGAAACUGGCGAACUGGAGUGUGGGAGAGGAUAGUGGAAUUCCAGGUGUAGGAGUGAAAUGCGUAGAUAUCUGGAGGAACAUCAGUGGCGAAGGCGACUAUCUGGCACAUAACUGACGCUGAGGAGCGAAAGCGUGGGUAGCAAACAGGAUUAGAUACCCCAGUAGUC